rnacentral:rRNA from 1 species
AAGGGGAUAACACUUGGAAACAGGUGCUAAUACCGUAUAACAAUCAAAACCGCAUGGUUUUGAUUUGAAAGGCGCUUUCGGGUGUCGCUGAUGGAUGGACCCGCGGUGCAUUAGCUAGUUGGUGAGGUAACGGCUCACCAAGGCCACGAUGCAUAGCCGACCUGAGAGGGUGAUCGGCCACAUUGGGACUGAGACACGGCCCAAACUCCUACGGGAGGCAGCAGUAGGGAAUCUUCGGCAAUGGACGAAAGUCUGACCGAGCAACGCCGCGUGAGUGAAGAAGGUUUUCGGAUCGUAAAACUCUGUUGUUAGAGAAGAACAAGGAUGAGAGUAACUGUUCAUCCCUUGACGGUAUCUAACCAGAAAGCCACGGCUAACUACGUGCCAGCAGCCGCGGUAAUACGUAGGUGGCAAGCGUUGUCCGGAUUUAUUGGGCGUAAAGCGAGCGCAGGCGGUUUCUUAAGUCUGAUGUGAAAGCCCCCGGCUCAACCGGGGAGGGUCAUUGGAAACUGGGAGACUUGAGUGCAGAAGAGGAGAGUGGAAUUCCAUGUGUAGCGGUGAAAUGCGUAGAUAUAUGGAGGAACACCAGUGGCGAAGGCGGCUCUCUGGUCUGUAACUGACGCUGAGGCUCGAAAGCGUGGGGAGCAAACAGGAUUAGAUACCCUGGUAGUCCACGCCGUAAACGAUGAGUGCUAAGUGUUGGAGGGUUUCCGCCCUUCAGUGCUGCAGCUAACGCAUUAAGCACUCCGCCUGGGGAGUACGACCGCAAGGUUGAAACUCAAAGGAAUUGACGGGGGCCCGCACAAGCGGUGGAGCAUGUGGUUUAAUUCGAAGCAACGCGAAGAACCUUACCAGGUCUUGACAUCCUUUUGAUCACUCUAGAGAUAGAGCUUCCCCUUCGGGGGCAAAGUGCCAGGUGGUGCAUGGUUGUCGUCAGCUCGUGUCGUGAGAUGUUGGGUUAAGUCCCGCAACGAGCGCAACCCUUAUUGUUAGUUGCCAUCAUUCAGUUGGCCACUCUAGCAAGACUGCCGGUGACAAACCGGAGGAAGGUGGGGAUGACGUCAAAUCAUCAUGCCCCUUAU